rnacentral:lncRNA from 10 species
CUGCAUUUUUUAACCUUGGAAAAGUUACUUAUCUUGACUUCUCUAUCAACUCUUGGCAUAGCACUGAAAUUCUAUAACUAUUCAAUAACCAAGAAGAGUAUGAAAGGCUGUGAGCAUGGAUGGUGGGAAAUUAAUGAGCACAUGUACUGUGGCUCCUACAUGGAUCAUCAGACAAUUUUUCGAGUGCCCAGCCCUCUGGUUCACAUUCAGCUCCAGUGCAGUUCAAGGCUUUCAGACAAGCCACUUUUGGCAGAAUAUGGCAGUUACAACAUCAGUCAACCCUGCCCUGUUGGAUCUUUUAGAUGCUCCUCCGGUUUAUGUGUCCCUCAGGCCCAGCGUUGUGAUGGAGUAAAUGACUGCUUUGAUGAAAGUGAUGAACUGUUUUGCG